CUUCUCCAAGUAUGGAAAGUCAUAUUCAAAAGCUGGACAGAUUUUAUAAAGACAAUAAAAGAAGACAAAGUGUAAAAUGAGGUUCAGGUGUGACGUGGUUGUGGAGUAGAAGACGCCACCGCCUGGCUGAGUCACCUGGACACAGUGUGUCAGCCUUUGAAAUCUCUGUCUUUCUGUCUGUUUUCCUCCCUCCCUCCCUCCUUAUCAUCUGUUCAAAGAAGAAAUGGGAACCCUCUAUUCAUUCAAAAACUCUCCAGUUCUUAAAGGAAAAUGCACAUGAGGAUCCUACAGAAACCACAACAUAAACCAUACUUCUUAAGAUUCAAUAAACUCUAGUAUUUGACAGA